AUGACUGGGGAGGUGAACAACUACUAUUUCCUUCCCGAAGAACCCGACCCCUUGCGCACCUUGCAUCAUAAGGAUAGCAUGGCCAAGGUGAUGUUUCUCGCAGCCGUGGCUAAACCAAGAUACGGCAAAGGUGGCGAGGUCACUUUUGAUGGAAAGCUCGGCAUUUGGGCUUUUGUCACAGAGUCUCCUGCUCAAAGAACCAGUGAAAACAGAGAUAAAGGGACGCUCGAGCUCAAAUCAUUGAAAGUCACACGAGAUGUAAUG
rnacentral:rRNA from 1 species